UCACUUGAGAAGUGAAUAAGUGACUUGAAAAUGUUUAAGUGUAGGUACUUGAAAUGUGGACUUGUGUUUUGAAUUUAGUUAAGUGUGGUCGUACUUGAAAUGUGGACUUGUGUUUUGAAUUUAGUUAAGUGUGGUCAUUUGAGAAGUGAAUUAAUGAAUCGAAAAUGUGCAAGUAUAGUUACUUGAAAGGUGGACUUGUGUUUUGAAAAUAGUUAAGUGUGGUUAUUAGAGAAGUGAGUUAGUGAGUCGAAAAUGUUUAAGUACUUGAAAUUUGGACUUGUGUUUUGAAUUUAGUUAAGUGUGGUCACUUGAGAAUUGAGUUAGUGACUUGAAAAUGUUUAAGUGUAGGUACUUGAAAUGUGGACUUGUGUUUUGAAUAUAGUUAAGUGGUCACUAGAGAAGUGAGUUAGCGAGUCGAAAAUGUUUUAAGAGUAGUUACUUGAAAGGUGGACUUGUGUUUUGAAUUUAGUUAAGUGUGGUCAUUUGAGAAGUAAAUUAAUGAGUCGAAAAUGUUUUAAGAGUAGUUACUUGAAAGGUGGACUUGUGUUUUGAAUAUAGUUAAGUGGUCACUAGAGAAGUGAGUUAGCGAGUCGAAAAUGUUUUAAGUGUAGGUACUUGAAAUGUGGACUUGUGUAUUGGAAGGAUAAUAGGCUAAGGUAUCCGAACUUUCAUUAAUGGCACGGGAUGUCUUAAGUGCUGCUCCAGUGCGAGCUCUAUUGUGUGACUUGCAUAAUACCGAAAUGAUGUAAAUGUCUCAGAUAAUCCCUACUGUUGGGAGAUAGCACACUGAUGUAAAAGCAAGGAAGGAUAAAUGAAU
rnacentral:lncRNA from 1 species